rnacentral:rRNA from 1 species
GGUGCGGAAUAGCUCAGGGAAACUUGGGGUAAUACCGCAUACGCCCUUCGGGGGAAAGAUUCAUCGCCGAUAGAUGAGCCCGCGUCUGAUUAGCUAGUUGGUGAGGUAACGGCUCACCAAGGCGACGAUCAGUAGCUGGUCUGAGAGGAUGACCAGCCACACUGGGACUGAGACACGGCCCAGACUCCUACGGGAGGCAGCAGUGGGGAAUAUUGGACAAUGGGCGCAAGCCUGAUCCAGCCAUGCCGCGUGAGUGAUGAAGGCCUUAGGGUUGUAAAGCUCUUUUGCCGGGGACGAUAAUGACGGUACCCGGAGAAUAAGUCCCGGCUAACUUCGUGCCAGCAGCCGCGGUAAUACGAAGGGGACUAGCGUUGUUCGGAAUCACUGGGCGUAAAGCGCACGUAGGCGGAUUCGUAAGUCAGGGGUGAAAUCCCGGGGCUCAACCUCGGAACUGCCUUUG